GAUGAACGCUGGCGGCGUGCUUAAGACAUGCAAGUCAAACGAAGGAUUUAGCAAUAAAUUCUUAGUGGCGAAUGGGUGCGUAACACGUAGGUGACCUACCCCGAAGUGUGGAAUAACAGUCCGAAAGGACUGCUAAUACCGCAUGUGGUCCCGGGUUUUAGAAAGCCGGGUCUAAAGCAGCAAUGCGCUUCGGGAGGGGCCUGCGGCCCAUCAGCUAGUUGGUAGGGUAAUGGCCUACCAAGGCUACGACGGGUAGGGGACCUGAGAGGGUGGCCCCCCACAUUGGCACUGACACACGGGCCAAACUCCUACGGGAGGCAGCAGUCGGGAAUAUUGCACAAUGGACGAAAGUCUGAUGCAGCAACGCCGCGUGCGCGAUGAAGGCCUUCGGGUUGUGAAGCGCUUUUCGGGAGGAUGAGGAAGGACAGUACUCCCGGAAUAAGGUACGGCUAACUACGUGCCAGCCGCCGCGGUAA
rnacentral:rRNA from 1 species